rnacentral:lncRNA from 10 species
AACUUGUGAGGCUUGUCUGCUCUCUCCAGAAAGCUGCAUUAUCUCCAGGAAUCUUGCAUGAAGCUGAAGAUGAUCUGGCUCUCAGCAUGUGAAACCUCACAAAAUACCCUUCUGGCUCUCAUCAUCCUUCACCUCAGUGAGACCUCAACUGGCUGCUGCUGAAAAUAAUGCAACAGAAUCAGGAAAGAGAUGUUCUGCAUGUAUUUUGGAACAAGGGAGAGCAGAUUUCGUUAGAAUUUAAUCCUGUUGGAGAAAAUGGAUUGAUAUAGCUGAGUUCAAAGGGAGUUGGGAAAAUAGCAUUAAAUUUUAGAGAUUAUAGCAAGUUUGUUUAAUUUCAUUUACUAAUUUAUUGACCAAAUAGUCAUUGAUGGCCUAGUGUGUGUUAGAAACUAUAAUUAUAUGUUGUCAUCUGGUGCACACAUUAUAAUCCAACUGGGUGAGUUUGGUUAGAUAAGAGAGCCUAAUUGGUUUUUUGUUUUUUGUUUUUGUUUUUGUUUGUUUGUUUGUUUUGAGACGGAGUUUCGCUCUUGUUGCCCAGGCUGGAGUGCAAUGGAGCAAUUUCAGCUCACUGCAACCUCUGCCUCCUGGGUUCAAUC